GAUGAACGCUGGCGGCGUGCUUAACACAUGCAAGUCGAACGGAAAGGCUCCUGCUUGCAGGGGUACUCGAGUGGCGAACGGGUGAGUAACACGUGGGUGAUCUGCCCUGCACUUCGGGAUAAGCCUGGGAAACUGGGUCUAAUACCGGAUAGGACCACAUUUUGGAUGGUGUGGUGGAAAGUUUUUUUCGGUGGGGGAUGAGCUCGCGGCCUAUCAGCUUGUUGGUGGGGUAGUGGCCUACCACGGCGUCGACUGUUAGCCGGCCUGAGAGGGUGUACGGCCACAUUGGGACUGAGAUCCUGCCCGGACUCCUACGGGAGGCAGCAGUGGGGUAUAUUGCACAAUGGGCGCAAGCCGGAUGCAGCGACGCCGGGUGGGGGAUGACGGCCGUCGGGUUGUAAACUCCUUUCGCUAGGGACGAAGCGCAAGUGACGGUACCUGGAGAAGAAGCACCGGCUAACUACGUGCCAGCCGCCGCCGUAAUAC
rnacentral:rRNA from 1 species